rnacentral:rRNA from 2 species
AGAGUUUGAUUCCCUGGCUCAGGACGAACGCUGGCGGCGUGCUUAACACAUGCAAGUCGAGCGGUAAGGCCUUUCGGGGUACACGAGCGGCGAACGGGUGAGUAACACGUGGGUGAUCUGCCCUGCACUCUGGGAUAAGCUUGGGAAACUGGGUCUAAUACCGGAUAUGACCACAGCAUGCAUGUGUUGUGGUGGAAAGAUUUAUCGGUGCAGGAUGGGCCCGCGGCCUAUCAGCUUGUUGGUGGGGUAAUGGCCUACCAAGGCGACGACGGGUAGCCGACCUGAGAGGGUGACCGGCCACACUGGGACUGAGACACGGCCCAGACUCCUACGGGAGGCAGCAGUGGGGAAUAUUGCACAAUGGGCGGAAGCCUGAUGCAGCGACGCCGCGUGAGGGAUGAAGGCCUUCGGGUUGUAAACCUCUUUCAGCAGGGACGAAGCGUGAGUGACGGACCUGCAGAAGAAG